AGGGAAGAGGAACGCGGUCGCUAGGGGGGGAAGCUGCAUCCUCUGAAGGGAGAUGGUCCUACCUCCCGGCCGAGGACGGCGACGGGAGAGCGGGAGAGCGCAAGAACGACGCAGCCCCUCACACACGGCGGCCGGGGAAGAAGGGUGCUGAGAGGGCAUCUCCCGGGAUGCCCUCCCGGGACUCGCCGGCACCGCGUUUCCCGCCCCUGAGGAUCCCCAUCUUCUACAAGGAGAAGGUCAAUGUUGCUGCAGAGCCAGGAGAGGGAGCACAGACAUUGCCGCUUGUUGGUCAUGCUUUUAGAGCGUCUGAGGAAGGUAAAGCUUAUCAAAAUGGAUGAAGCUUAUCAAAAUUUAUGAAUCACAGUGGAUGAAGGGAAGACAGGUAUAUUAAAUGCUGAUACAAGAAUACAUAAUUUUCUCAGAAGCUAAUCUGAAACUGGACUACUUCCCAGAAUAAUCAAUAAGUGUACAAGGAUUUUCUACCUGCUGUUUAUGCAAAGUUCUGAAGGAUUUUCAGAUAUAUUUUUAUAUAAAAGAUGUAGCACUUCUUAUACAAGAAAACUAGUUUUGUAUGGAGUUUUUUGUUGGUUUUGUUCUGGGCUUUUUUCCCUUUAGGAAAGGCAGAAGAGGACAAUCACUAUUUAUAUAGUUCUAUAAAACACUCUGAUCUGGUCCACAAUGGUUUGUUAACUGCAUCCAACUUCUGAUUCUUAGCUAAAUGCGGGUUUUUUCUUACCUUUUCCCACAUUGCAGCAUGGACCCAUCGUGUGUAUCUCGUGUAUAUGUCAUGUGGUGUGACAGAAAAACACCUCUUUCAAAAACUCUCCUCUUUUCCCGCUAGAGGGCUCUCCCAAAAUACUCAUGAGAGACCGUUCCAUUGACUGAGACUGCUACUUUAAACAAACGUUUUUAGGAAUGUUUACGUGUAAUG